ACUUCAAUAACUCAAUUGGAUAGAGUACAUGGGUCCUAACCAUGAAGUUGUGGGUUCAAGUCCCAUUUGAAGUA
rnacentral:tRNA from 2 species